UAGUCCACGCCGUAAACGAUGAUCACUCGCUGUCGGGAAUUAUUUUCGGUGGCUAAGCGAAAGUUAUAAGUGAUCCACCUGGGGAGUACGUUCGCAAGGAUGAAACUCAAAGGAAUUGACGGGGGCCCGCACAAGCGGUGGAGCAUGUGGUUUAAUUCGAUGAUACGCGAGGAACCUUACCAAGGCUUAAAUGUAGAUUGACAGGACUAGAGAUAGUUUUUUCUUCGGACAAUUUACAAGGUGCUGCAUGGUUGUCGUCAGCUCGUGCCGUGAGGUGUUAGGUUAAGUCCUGCAACGAGCGCAACCCCUAUUAUUAGUUGCCAGCGUUUAAAGACGGGGACUCUAAUGAGACUGCCCGCGCAAGCGGUGAGGAAGGUGGGGACGACGUCAAAUCAUCACGGCCCUUACGUCUUGGGCUACACACGUGCUACAAUGGUAGGUACAGAGGGCAGCUACUUGGCAACAAGGUGCGAAUCUCAAAAACCUAUCUCAGUUCGGAUUGGAGUCUGCAACUCGACU
rnacentral:rRNA from 1 species